UUAUCAGCGCUCACCCCACUUCAUCCACCGCCCGCACACCUUCCACCCGUUCUCCAUCCGUGGGAGUGCGUGUCUUCUGCUGCUGUUCUUUGCUCGCACCAGCUCUGUCUCUCUGUUGGCAUUUUCCCCACGCUUACGGACGGUGGUACGCACACCUACUUCGCGACGGAUACACUCGUGCGUGAGUUGAUCUUGACUUUACGUCUUCCUCACGAUUUUUCCCUCGCGCUUUUGUUUCGUCGACUCUUGUGGUGUGAAGGAACUGUGACGUUACUUUUGCUGCGGACCCCGCCUCCCUACGGAGCAGCCGCGGCGACAUCCACGACUGAGUUCACAAGAUCGCCACGCACGCAUACCCAAACUACACGAAGCUCCCCCAAAGCCAGCUAUGCCCCUCAGAGACGAGCCCAGUGACCUCGAACGCGCCGUCGAGGACGACUCGAGCACAGAGUGUAAUGUGCUGAAGCUAGACGUGACCAACCAGCGUCCGAUUAGCGAGGCGCGACGCUACGGCUUACUGACGCUCGCCUCCUUCGCCAUGAUCUGCGCCUCGACAUCGUACGCCUUCAACCUGUUCAGCGGCAGCCUUCGCGACAAGUACAACUUCGACUCGCGCCAGAUGUCCACGAUCAACACGGUGGGCAUGGUGUUCGCCUACUUUCUGUUGCCGUACGGCACGAUAUACGACUACCUUGGCCCGCUGCCGGUGUACAUCCUUGCGUGCGUGCUCGCGUCGCUGGGGCUGCUGCUGAUGGGCCUCACGUUCCAGGGCGUGAUUGCCGGCUCUGUGGUGCGGUUCUGCGUGUUCAACGCGCUGCUGAGCCUUGGCAGUCAGCUGUUCGACCUUGCAACGGUGGUGACGAUGCUGAGCAUCUUCCCGACGCGUCGCGGGUGGGUCGUGGCGCUGCUGAAGACGCUGAUGGGCCUGGGCUCUGCGAUCAUCGGGUCGAUGCGCACGGGCUUCUUCCUGAACACGCCGGCAAACUACUUCUACUUUCUGGUGGGGAUGGUGCUUGUGACCGGGCUGUGCUGCAUUGCGGUGAUGCGGCUGCCGUCGUACCACUUGACGGGCUACCAGCAGAGCCGCCUGAGCGAUGAGCAGAAGGCGGUGCGCGGUGCGCGUGUCGCGGCGUACCUGACGCAGGAGCCGCCGAUGUGGCGCUUCUACCUGAGCAUUGCGGUGGUGCUUGUGCUUGUGGUGUAUCUGCCGACGACGAGCGCGCUGGCGGCGUUCACGAAGGUCGCGAAGACGCAGCACGGCCUGCUUGCCUUCGCGAUCGUGGCCGUGGUCAUCACGAGCUGCUUUCUGCUGAUGCUGGUGCCGUGCCCGUGGCUGGAUCGUUUGACGACGAAGGGGCCGAGGGAUGAUGAGUCGGCGGAGAGCGGUGAGGUGCUGACGGACAUUGACUACAUUGCCCCGCAGUACCAGACAACCUUCCUGCAGAGCUGCUGCACGGUGAGCCUGUGGUGCAUCCUCUGGACGAUGUUCUGCGGCGUUGGCGCCGAGUUCGUGAUCAUCUUCAACGCGUCGCCCAUCUUCUCUGCGCUGACGGAGACGCCGAAGCUGGACACGACGGUGUCUGCGCUGCUGACGGUGCUGAACGGCGCUGGCAGCGCGCUGGGCCGCCUGGCCAUGUCCGUGUUCGAGCACUAUACGCAGAAGCGCAAGGCCGAGGACCGCAUGCCUAUCACCGUCGCCUUCUUUGUGCCGACGACGCUGAUCAUCCUCUCGAUGACGCUGUUCCUGGUACUGCCGGGCCGCUCGCUGCUGGCCGCGUUUGCGCUGGCGUCUCUUGGUAACGGCUUCUGCGCCAGCAUCACCAUUCUCGUCCUGCGCACCAUGUACGCCAAGGACCCCGCGAAGCACUACAACUUUGGCUUCAACGCGCUGUGGAUCGCGGCCAUCCUGCUGAACCGCCUGCUGUACGGCGAGUGGAUUGCGUCUCGGGCCGACAGGCAGGGCCAGAAGGUGUGCGUUGGCCGCGAGUGCGUGAUGAUGCCGCUGCUCGUCAUGAUUGGCAUGAACCUGACGGCGCUUCUCUCGGAUGUGUACCUGCACAUCAGCUACUCCCGCUUCUCACGCAGGGUGCUGGCCGAGCGCCGCCGCCUGCGGGAGGGGGUCGCCGCCGCGGGCAGCUCGGAGCCGAUCUACCCGGAAAAGGAGGUGGCCCGAGGUGAAAGAGUCUACGCACAUGGCUCGGGCAGCAGCGUAGGCGAUUCCCUUGACGCGCAGCAGCAGCGAAAGCCUCGUGGCUAGAGAGAAGAGGUGGUUCCGCGGAUAAAGGCGACUACGAUCAUGGCGGCAUAUGCAGCCGCAUGUUGCGCACGAAGUAGUGUUAGCCUCCAAUACUUCGCGAAGUGUUUUCUUCAUCCAUCGAUCGCCACCUCGCUGCUUUUUUCUACUUUCCAUUCUUUUUUUUUUCGUGCUGCGUCGCAGCCCUUCCCGCUCGCCCGCACCAUGGCCCUCCUUUUCGUUUCGCCUGUGUUCGUCGGUUGAAAGUGUCUUGAGCGUGCCGCGGCCUCGUAGGGCUUCAACCGCCGCUGCCGUCGUCUCCGCGUGUACGCGUUUAUGGGUGCUUGCCUCCGUCUCUCUGUCUGUGCGUGUUGAUGUGUGAAGUAUUGUUGUGCCGAAAGGCCUGAUGGAGCGUGCGCGUGCGAUACUUUCCACACCACACCCACAUACAUGGAUUCGUCGAUGCAAACUCUUUACAAGUGCGCGGUGGCCACCUCGACCCCCGGAGGGCGGAAAAGUGCUGCUGAGACACGUCUCGAGCGCGUGCGGAAGGGGGCGAAAGGUGCGGGGCGGGCGGACGAAGAGGCGGCGAGGAGCGCGCACAUCUAAGCAGAACAGACACGGCGCAAAACUGUCGCGUAUCACGCGGAGGAAGUGAGUGUGAGCAAGCGAUAAAAUGAGGACUCCCAAAAAAAAAGGAGUGAGUGAGAGCGCGUGAGAAAGAGGGCAGUGACGCAAUACAAGCACGUGCAGAAGCCGUGAAUACACAAGAAGGGCGGCAAGGCGAGCGGCGAACCUGCCUGGGCCUCCGAGCCUUUUUCAUCGGCUGGUAGUUUAGCCCCACUCCUGGCUCUCUCCUUCCUUGCCUGUUGUGUGGUCCAGCCCUGCGCGCGUCUCUCUUCGCCUCUUUGGUUUUGUGUGUUUCUUCGUAUGGGCGUGUCUUCCUAUGUUUUUUUGUCUUGUUGUUCGCUUUCUUCUCCGCUUCCGCUCAGCUUUAUGCUCCUCGACUGUGAUGGGGUACUUCAUCGUUGUAUGCGUGUGCAUGUAAGUGGGUGUGUGGGUGUGUGGGUGGGUCUCUCUUUCCUGGUGGGCGUGGCGUGAGCAAGAGAAACACUUGUUUCCUCGGCAAACCGGCCACGUACCUGCACGCACACGCACGACGAAGUGUAACACCCGCGCAUACAGAGGAACGAAAUGAAAAGCAUUUCCUUCGUUAAGUGUUCAUAUAUAUAUAUAUAUAUAUAUAUAUAUAUAUAUAUAUAUAUAUAGUGUGCCGUUGUUUGAGCCAACUAGCCAAACAAGAAGAAUUUAAGCACGUCGCCUCGGCUCGAUUUGCCAUGUUUGCCCUUACUUGGAUAAUCUACAUCGUUUUUCCUUCUCUUUUUCUCUCUCCCUUUCUCCAACCCCCUCUCUCUUUUUUCUAGUGUACGUGUGGUGUGUGUGUGUGUGUGUUGUAUGUGUGCGCUGGCUCUCUCCCACAUUAUAUGCGGGAGCGUUCGGCGUACGCGUAAGUUUUCACGCGUUUACAUAUACAUAAAUACAUAUAUGUGUAUGUAUAUGCAUGUAGCGUUGAACAACGAGAAUGACGCGCACGUAUGCAUCACCAUCACGACCAUCACCACCGCCGAGAGAAGGGGAAAGCGCUUCUGUUGUGUUGCCCAUUUUUUCGUCUUUUUUUAAGUUUGUUUGGAUUUCAUUUUCUUUUUGGUUCUUGAUGUUUCGAUUUUACUUCAUUUUAAUAUUCUUUCCCUGCGUCGACUUCUCCCCUCUCCUUCUCCUCUUGCUUCCCUUGUUGUGUUGUUGUCGUUUUUUUUUUUGCGAGCCGUGCUUCCAUCCAUCCAUCCCUUCCCCACUGGUACACACAAACACAGGCCCUCUUCUGUUUUCCAUUCUUCGCUUCACUAACCGUCCUUUCCUUCUUUGGCAUCUCCAUCGCAGCUUUCUUUUUCGCGUUCCUCCGCCGCGCUCCACACGCAACCAGGGCGUUUCGUCUCCGAACGGACUUUGGCGGUGCUUCAAGAGAGAAAGCGGAGGUGGGGUAACAGAGAAGGAACGGUGCCUUUAUAUAGCACUGCUGUCAUAAUUAACAUUAUCAAACCCCCCUCCCUCCCUCCCUCCCUCCCCCUUAACAACAACGAAACAAACAAAAAAGGAACGAAGCUUGAGUGCAACGAGAGAGAGACCACCUUUCCUUAAAAAAAAACGAGAAGCGAUGUCCCCAAUACGAUCCUGGUUUCAAAAUGCGCUCAUCCUGUUCUGUGAUAACGUUGAUGUAUUUUCCCUAUGGCGCAUGCGUAUGCAGGAAUCUUUCUUUCUCUUUUCUCGUUGCGGUCUUUCACGACUUCCUGCGCGCACACUCUCUCUUGUGCUCCGUCAAUCAAAAAAAGGGAGAGGAAGAGCGCGAGGGCGAGUGAGACACACAAGAAAAGAAGAAAAGCGCGAGUUAUGCGGAGGCAGAGGUCGGACAGGAGGGGCGGCGAUGCUCAGGCGGACGCGCACAUGUACGGAACAUAGCGAAAAAAAAAAUCAAAUCGAGAAAGUGUGGGGCAUGGAGAGAGGGUGUAGCAGGUGCUGCUGCGUGAAGUUGUCGUUUGUGAAUUUAUACAUGUACGGCCCGUAUUAGGGACAAGACACGGAGAGCUUCAACAACCCGAUCUCUGCAAGAAGCAAGGGAUUCUUUGUUUUUGUUCUUGUCUUUGGUCUGUGCACCUGACCAUGUCCUCUCCUCGCAUAAGGGGGCGUGCUCGUUUUUUUUUUUUCGUUGUUCCUUUUCACGUCUCUGUGCUGCAGUGUGCAUCUUCUGUGUGCGCGUGCCCCGCUGAGCCUGUGACGUGUUUGAUCGCAAGCCUUUUCGUCCGUCUUUGAGUUUCCUCGUUUUAAAAUGUUUUUUUUUUUGUUGUUGUUCCUUCAGACGCCACACUCGCAUAUGGGGCCUUGCCCCCCCCCCCCCCCCCCCCUUCCUGUUGUCUUGCAGGGAAAGGUACCGGACAUGUCAUGCACACUGAGGAUGCGAACUCUGUUUUGAGAGAAUCAAAGAAGAACAUUAGUGGCAGCAAAGAAGGAGAGGACCCGACAUGCACAGACGAAUAUGCACACAGACAGAGCCUCAAGACGCGUGGUGCAAGAGCGGCGACCAAGCCCCAUGUGGGCGUAUAGACAAGAAGGCAUACCUCACGUGCAUCACGCACACGCACCCCUCGAAAAAAAAAAUACGAGGAGCUGGACGCCGACACAGAGGAAGGCAGCAGCCUUACUGCCUCCUCGCUCAAACCUCGACAGCGGUGAUCCAUCCAGAAGAGUGAGGGAGCAGAGAGGGCAUACCAGCGCUUUUCUUUGAUUCGCCCGCGAGAUCUGUGUGGCUGUGGUGACGUUAAUGAGGCAGCUGCAAGGACGUAUCCGGCGAAGGAACAGGCAAUCGAAAUCGCUCGCAACAGGGUGUCUUUUUCUUUUGUCCCUCCCCCUGCAUCUGCUUUCCUUCUCUCUCCAUGCAUCAUGGCUUAACCUCGCUUCCCAUUCGUUUAGCGCGCGAACGCACUGUGACUCUUCCUCGCAGUGCGUUUCACCGUCUGCCCUUUGUUGUUCCGUGUGCGUCUUGCUGCUUCUGGCCUUGCCUGUUUGUCUGUCUGUCUCUCGCUGCGCUCGCGCGUGUGAUUCGUCGUUGCCUCCAGCAUAUAUAUAUAUAUAUAUAUUUAUGAUUUUCGCUUCCUUCUCUCUGUCGAUCUUCGCCCCGCUCCUCUUCCAACGCCGCCUUUGGACGUUGUUGUUUCCUCUCGUGCCGGCCACCUGGCCAUCUCUCCCUCUUUUCUCCCCUUUUCUGCCCCCAUCACCUCAUGCAUGCUCGGACCCUGAGCAGCUCUUUCUGCAUAUUUUGUCGUGCUUUAGCGAGCAUGCAUAUUUAUGUGUAUAUAUAUAUAUAUAUACAUGUGCAUGCGUGCUCUGUUCUGGUGCUUUCUCCGUCUCGUUAUCUUCGGCUUUUUUUUCGAAACGACACACACACACACACACACGCGAAUAAGAAAGAGGGCGUUUUCCGCGUACAUCUUUGCUUGUUUCACGUGUGUUCUUUUUUUUUUCGGUUUCCCGUCCUCUGUUCUUGUGUCGAUGCCUGAUAAAACGGCACACCCACAACCGCCCCUGUACGCAUACGCGCAUGCGCAUAUAUAUAUAUAUAUAUAUGUACGUGGGUGGCCAUGGAGGCAUGUGUGCUUGUGUCUCCACGUAUGCGGUACUUGUGCGCGUGAGCGUGUGCUCAGCAACGAACGAGGGAGCGAGAUAUGCGUUUCUUUAUUUGUCUGUUUCGUUUUAUUUUUUCACGAUGGUCACUCCAUAUCCGCUUCCAUCCGAAAAGCGAUCAUAAUCAUUCUCUCUCUGUGUUCUGCGCAUCUGCCCUUCUUCCCACCCUCAGUAUUCCACUAGCUGCAGAAAGAAGCACAAAG
rnacentral:misc_RNA from 1 species